UCUUGUGGGUAAUGUGAAUCUUGUGAGAUCGAUCCCAGUGAGUUGCUAUAUGUGUACUGCUUCCACUACCUUGCAUAUGUGUGUUAUAGAUUAUCUCAGCAAAAUGAACUCGAUACUCAGACACACAUUUUGUUUUCCAUGCAGUACGAGAGCAUGCUCCUUGAGCCUACAACUGGAUGACUGUUACGUCUGUGGAUUUACAGAUACAUGUGUAGGUGUGUGUAAAGUGUAAUACUGGAGUCAUGGUGUGUUGGUCUGUACAGUGUCAUAUUGUGUGAUGUGUACAUGGACGUACAGUAUGUUAUUGUGUGGUGUGUUAGUUGUAAAGGUGUGUGUGGUAGACAAAUUUCUGGGUGUGUACAGUGUCAUAUUGUGUGAUGUGUACAUGGGUGUAGACGACAGUCCUUUCUGCUUUGACAAUGCAAAUAGACAUGUAGUGUUAUCAUUAUUUUCAUGUGCAAUAGAAAGAUGUCUUCUCGGUACCAGCUGCAUUUCAUGGUCCUAUGCAUGCCAGAAGUAGAUAGUUUCCUUUCCCUAUGCCACCAGGUGAUGGUGCAGCAGCCUUUUAGUAUGGGAAAACAUGUGCACAGCUUGUGCUUGUCUAACACUGUUGUAGCGUUAUAAGUCACAUGGUUGUCUGUCCUCUCACCGUGUCAAUACUGACAUCACCAGAUUGGUUGAUGUUUCCUACCUCCUGAAACCUUGCACACAUGAGUUGUCUCCCUUGUAUCAGUUUGCUCAACAAAUGUCCUACUGUACAUAUACAAUGUAUAUUCCUGCAUUACUGUUAUCACUAUGCAGGUUAAAGGUAGAAAUGGAAGCAAUGUACUAUACCUGGCCAUAUUGCACCAGUAAGUCAUAAACAAAUCCAGUAUCAGUCCGAUACCAGCGGUCUAGUACUAGAGUUGUCUGUUUGGUUUCUUAUAAGUAUUUUAGCUUGUUAUUUGUUACUCCUGCACCUUGAAUUCCAUAUUUGUUUUAAAGAUAUCUUUGCUAGUGCUAUUAGUCUUGUGCGUACAAUAUUCAACCCAAUAAGACUGUAAAAGACACGAGUUUGCUGUCGGAGAUAAGCUCAAUUCUCACCAUGAUGCAACGAGUGUGUUGAUACAUAUUACAUAGCUGGAACAUGUACUGGGUUGAAUAUUGGUUGAUGUUGUUCUAAGUUGAUGUAAAUUUUACUUUUAAGAAAUGUUAUUUAAUGUCCAUAUUGAAAAGAUGUGCAAUGUAGAGAGUACACUAUGUAAUUAGCUUAGCUUGUUGACAGGACCCCGACUGACAUGACCAGCUUAUACCCUUGAGAUGCCCUUUGGUCAGUUUGUGUCUGUCUGUAGUCUGCCAAGCUUGUAACCCUUGUUCAUGCCAGCACAGUGAUGGCUUUGACUCAUCUGUAGAAUGAAUACUCAAAUUGUUAGAAACAGGCUUUGCUUGAUGUUGUCUGUAUACUAUACAAUGUGUUAUUACAUGUAAAAUAUUUCAUUUUGUUGCCUGGUUGUUUUCAGUGCAGUGUACUUCCUUUUUCCCCAUGAAACACUGUCUUCCUAAACUGCUGAUUAACCCCAAAAACUUACAAACAUUAAUCGAAAGCACAAGCAAGAGAUCAUUCCAAAUAUGGAUCAAUGUCUAUUUUUCUGAUUGCAGGGUUAUAUUUUUCACAGCUAGGUGGGGACCACUUGUUUUCUUAAACUUGACACACUAAUGGCUGUAGACCCUUCUUUUCUAGUCAGUAUAUGUAAGAGCAUGACAGCAUAUAAACUACAGCAUAAAACCUACCUCAAAAUAGACUCUUACUCCAAACUGCCCUUUACAACACUUGGCUGUCUCUCCUUGUCUCAAUCGAACACCAGGUCAUCUCUCCCUAUCCACCACUGGGCCAAUCUUCUAUUAAUCCAAACUAUCCAUUAUACAAGUAUUAUAUUUGUUUCACUGUCAUUUAAUGUCUUCAGAUUAGCUUUGGUUUAAUGUGAGCCAUAUGCUUUGUGUAUUCAGUGUUUGUAUUUACUUCAGCAUCGGUUAUAUGUUAAUAGGGAAUCUUCACAUGCAUUAUGAUGAUUAUACCAGCAUUGUGGACAUGACAUCACAUCCGCACACCAAAAUUAGACAUUUGCACAAGCAAGCAUUAUCCAUCAAUAUACAUCUGUAUUGACAAACAAUAGAUUCCGUAUAACUAUCAUUCAUUACCCGGUAAUUAAGAUGCUAAUUUCAUUUUUGCAUUUACAAUAGGCAUUGUUCUUAGAUCCAUGGCAGAAUUUUAUUGGUAUAUAUAUUUGUGUCUUUAGAGGGUUAAAACCAGCUUGCUUGUAUGGGGCUGGAGAUUGACCCCGAUAACAUGCUUGCUUUCCGCAAUUACAUAUUAUCUGUAUUUUAGAUGCUAUUAUACAUUUGCCUUGUCAGCAAACAAUGAGGUAGUCGUGGCAUGAAGCUGAAGAACAUUCUCAGGCAGUGCUGAGUUGUGGGAGGGUGAGCUGAAGAACGUUCUUUGUAGGCUUGGGUUGUGGGAGGGUGAGCUGAAGAAUGUUCUUUGUAGGCCUGGGUUGUGGGAGGGUGAGCUGAAGAACGUUCUUUGUAGGCCUGGGUUGUGGGAGGGUGAGCUGAAGAAUGUUCUUUGUAGGCCUGGGUUGUGGGAGGGUGAGCUGAAGAAUGUUCUUUGUAGGCCUGGGUUGUUGGAGGUGAGCUGAAGAAUGUUCUUUGUAGGCCUGGGUUGUGGGAGGGUGAGCUGAAGAAUGUUCUUUGUAGGCCUGG
rnacentral:lncRNA from 1 species